rnacentral:rRNA from 1 species
AUUGAACGCUGGCGGCAGGCCUAACACAUGCAAGUCGAGCGGAUGAAGGGAGCUUGCUCCUGGAUUCAGCGGCGGACGGGUGAGUAAUGCCUAGGAAUCUGCCUGGUAGUGGGGGAUAACGUCCGGAAACGGGCGCUAAUACCGCAUACGUCCUGAGGGAGAAAGUGGGGGAUCUUCGGACCUCACGCUAUCAGAUGAGCCUAGGUCGGAUUAGCUAGUUGGUGGGGUAAAGGCCUACCAAGGCGACGAUCCGUAACUGGUCUGAGAGGAUGAUCAGCCACACUGGAACUGAGACACGGUCCAGACUCCUACGGGAGGCAGCAGUGGGGAAUAUUGGACAAUGGGCGAAAGCCUGAUCCAGCCAUGCCGCGUGUGUGAAGAAGGUCUUCGGAUUGUAAAGCACUUUAAGUUGGGAGGAAGGGCAGUAAGUUAAUACCUUGCUGCUUUGACGUUACCAACAGAAUAAGCACCGGCUAACUUCGUG